GGCCAGUUAGUUCAGUUUGUUAGAGUGUGGUGCUACUAACACCAAGGUUGCAGGUUCGAUCCCCGCACGGGCCA